UGCAAAGCUAAAAAGCAUUCUGUCAAUAAACAUAACCAUAUAUCAAACUAAAUCUAAGUACAAAAGGAUACUGGGAACUAUACGGACCGCAUUCUGCAUAAAGUUUGUUACUUUUUUGCGAAAAAAGGUUAUUGCUAUUAAAAUCACAAAAAACUAAAGAUCAGAAUGGGAACCCUGCUUCACACAUUAUUAGCUUGAUACGACAAAGGAAAACCUAAUGGUGUACUAACUGCCAGUUUGCAAUCGAGAUCUUAUAACAAUAAAAAGCAGAUAAAACCAAAAUAACAAAAAGAUGUUGCCACUAAUUACAAAUUAUUAGACACAACUAAACGAUAUAUCCAUGCACAAGGGCUCGAGGAACUGCAAGUGUUGCCACAUUUACAUAGAUCACCACAGAUUAAGUAACAGCUAUCACAAAGAACCUCAUGUGAGAUAUUGGAGAGUUACCCCAAAAAUCCAAAGACAGCUAAAUGGAUCAUGUAAGCAGCAUAGCCAACUGUAUAAAUAUCCCUUCAAGCCAUAGUAUUCUUCAUUAUAUAUUGUAAUGAUUAGCCAAGAAAAUAGUUGAUAAUAGGAUUUGCCACUGAUUAAUCACUUAAUUCCACUAAUAUCACCUACGUGGUGAUAGUCUAACCAUUUCACUGACUAAAGUUAAUGGAUUUUCACAAUAAUAGUGCAAUAUGGUAGCUAAUGACAAAAGAUUAAGAUUUAAUAAGAUAUGUAGCUAAAUAGUGAGUUGAGGAGAACACAAAAAAUGUCAAUACCCGAUCUAAAAGGUUGGUAAUUUCAGAUGUGAUACUAAAAUGAAAAGGCAUUCAUAUGGAGCAGACAUAUAUAAUCACUCCAAUAACUUGUUGAAAGAGUGGAGACAAUUAUCUACUUGGGUGAACAACUUAAUUGAACUCCCACUGUUGUAGUCAAAAGUGUUGUUGUUGCUUCCAUCAUCCAUAGGCAAAUGCAUAAGGAUCUCUUCUCUUUUUGUUUCCAAAUUGUUCAACUAAUAAAGACGCUGAGUUUAACAAUUGUGCCCCUUCAUUCUAUCUGAUGAUCUCAAGUUCCUUCACCACUUCAUUCAUUGUUGGGCGCCUAGGCAGACUGUAUACAUAGCCAACUGUAUAAAUAUCACUGCAAGCCAUGGUAUUCUUCAUUAUAUAUUGUAAUGAUUAGCCAAGAAAAUAGUUGAUAAUAGGAUUUGCCACUGAUUAAUCACUUAACGCCACUAAUAUCACCUACGUGGUGAUAGUCUAACCAUUUCACUUACUAAAGUUAAUGGAUUUUCACAAUAAUAGUGCAAGCUGGUAGCUAAUGACCAAAGAUUAAGAUUUAAUAAGAUAUGUAGCUAAAUAAUGAGUUGAGGAGAACACAAAGAUGUCAAUACCCGAUCUAAAAGGUUGGUAAUUUCAGAUGUGAUACUAAAACGAAAAGGCAUUCAUAUGGAGCAGACAUAUAUAAUCACUCCAAUAACUUGUUGAAAGAGUGGAGACAACUAUCUACUUGGGUGAACAACUUAAUUGAACUCCCACUGUUGUAGUCAAAAGUGUUGUUGUUGCUUCCAUCAUCCAUAGGCAAAUGCAUAAGGAUCUCUUCUCUUUUUUUCCAAAUUGUUCAACUGAUAAAGACGUUGAGUUUAGCAAUUGUGCCCCUUCAUUCUAUCUGAUGAUCUCAAGUUCCUUCACCACAUCAUUCAUUGUUGGGCGCUUGGGCAGACCGUAUACAUAGCCAACUGUAUAAAUAUCCCUUCAAGCCAUAGUAUUCUUCAUUAUAUAUUGUAAUGAUUAGCCAAGAAAAUAGUUGAUAAUAGAAUUUGCCACAGAUUAAUAACUUAAUGCCACUAAUAUCACCUACGUGGUGAUAGUCUAACCAUUUCAUUGGCUAAAGUUAAUGGAUUUUCACAAUAAUAGUGCAAGUUGGUAGCUAAUGACCAAAUAUUAAGAUUUAAUAAGAUAUGUAGCUAAAUAAUGAGUUGAGGAGAACACAAAAAGGUCAAUACCCG
rnacentral:lncRNA from 1 species